rnacentral:lncRNA from 1 species
UCCAUUGAUGAGCUUGCUUGUGACAGUCCUUGAUCUUGAAGCUUUUUCCACGAAUUCACCAAAACAGUUGCUCUAUAAGGUUUGUGGAGAAUGAAUCCAAAAGGAAUUGUCCAAAAUGAUGAAGAAUUGAUGAAGAAAUCUUGAAAAAUGCUUGAUGAAAUUUGAGAGGAUUUUGCAAUUUUGGAGGGAAAGUUUGUUAUGAUUCUU